rnacentral:rRNA from 1 species
GACGAACGCUGGCGGCGUGCUUAACACAUGCAAGUCGAACGGAAAGGCCCUGCUUUUGUGGGGUGCUCGAGUGGCGAACGGGUGAGUAACACGUGAGUAACCUGCCCUUGACUUUGGGAUAACUUCAGGAAACUGGGGCUAAUACCGGAUAGGAGCUCCUGCUGCAUGGUGGGGGUUGGAAAGUUUCGGCGGUUGGGGAUGGACUCGCGGCUUAUCAGCUUGUUGGUGGGGUAGUGGCUUACCAAGGCUUUGACGGGUAGCCGGCCUGAGAGGGUGACCGGCCACAUUGGGACUGAGAUACGGCCCAGACUCCUACGGGAGGCAGCAGUGGGGAAAAUUGCACAAUGGGCGGAAGCCUGAUGCAACGACGCCGCGUGCGGGAUGAAGGCCUUCGGGUUGUAAACCGCUUUCGCCUGUGACGAAGCGUGAGUGACGGUAAUGGGUAAAGAAGCACCGGCUAACUACGUG